ACAUGCCUACAAAAUAGUGUUAAUGCAUCACAUCCCAUUAGAACUCCACAGUUAAGAGUUCUCAGGCUAGAGUAGUACUUGGAUGGGUGACCACCCAGGAAGUCAUAGUGUUUUACAUGCC
rnacentral:rRNA from 1 species